rnacentral:rRNA from 1 species
CCUACGGGAGGCAGCAGUGAGGAAUAUUGGUCAAUGGACGCGAGUCUGAACCAGCCAAGUAGCGUGAAGGAUGACUGCCCUAUGGGUUGUAAACUUCUUUUAUAAGGGAAUAAAGUGAGCCACGUGUGGCUUUUUGUAUGUACUUUAUGAAUAAGGAUCGGCUAACUCCGUGCCAGCAGCCGCGGUAAUACGGAGGAUCCGAGCGUUAUCCGGAUUUAUUGGGUUUAAAGGGAGCGUAGAUGGGUUGUUAAGUCAGUUGUGAAAGUUUGCGGCUCAACCGUAAAAUUGCAAUUGAUACUGGCAGUCUUGAGUACAGUAGAGGUAGGCGGAAUUCGUGGUGUAGCGGUGAAAUGCUUAGAUAUCACGAAGAACUCCGAUUGCGAAGGCAGCUUACUAAACUGCCACUGACACUGAUGCUCGAAAGUGUGGGUAUCAAACAGGAUUAGAUACCCGUGUAGUC